rnacentral:rRNA from 1 species
UUACCAAAAACAUGUCUUUUUGAGUUAUUUUUAAAGUCUGACCUGCCCACUGAAAUUUUUAAAUGGCCGCAGUAUUCUAACUGUGCAAAGGUAGCAUAAUCAUUAGUCUUUUAAUUGAAGGCUGGUAUGAACGGUUGGACGAGGUAUAAGCUGUUUCAUAUAAAUUUAUAAUAGAAUUUUAUAUUUUAGUCAAAAAGCUAAAAUAUUAUUAAAAGACGAGAAGACCCUAUAAAUCUUUAUAUUUUUUUUUAUUUAAAUUUUUUGGAUUUAUUUUAUUUUUAUAAUGGAGAAUAUUUUGUUGGGGUGAUGUUAAAAUUUAAUGAACUUUUAAUUAUAAAAAUCAUUAAUUUAUGAGUUAUUGAUCCAUUAGUAGUGAUUAUAAGAUUAAGUUACUUUAGGGAUAACAGCGUAAUUUUUUUGGAGAGUUCAUAUCGAUAAAAAAGUUUGCGACCUCGAUGUUGGAUUAAGAUAUAAUUUUAGGUGUAGCCGCUUAAAUGCUAAGUCUGUUCGACUUUUAAAUUCUUACGUGAUCUGAGUU